CCUACGGGGGGCAGCAGUGGGGAAUAUUGCGCAAUGGACGAAAGUCUGACGCAGCGACGCCGCGUGAGGGAUGAAGGUUUUCGGAUCGUAAACCUCUGUCAGGAGGGACGAAAGCGUAUGGCGCCAAUCAGCCAUGCGUUGACGGUACCUCCGAACGAAGCGCCGGCUAACUCCGUGCCGGCAGCCGCGGUAAGACGGAGGGGGCGAGCGUUAAUCGGAAUUACGGGGCGUAAAGCGCGCGUAGGCUGUUGUGUAAGUUGGGGGUGAAAUCCCACGGCUCAACCGUGGAACAGCCCUUGAGACUGCGCAACUUGAAUCCUGGAGAGGGUAGCGGAAUACCAGGUGUAGGAGUGAAAUCCGUAGAUAUCUGGUGGAACAUCAGUGGCGAAGGCGGCCACCUGGACCGGUAUUGACGCUGAGGCGCGAAAGCGUGGGGAGCAAACAGGAUUAGAUACCCGGGUAGUC
rnacentral:rRNA from 1 species